AUUGAACGCUGGCGGCAUGCUUUACACAUGCAAGUCGAACGGUAACAGGCCUUCGGGUGCUGACGAGUGGCGCACGGGUGAGUAAUGCAUCGGAACGUACCCAGAGGUGGGGGAUAACGCAGCGAAAGCUGUGCUAAUACCGCAUGUGAUCUGAGGAUGAAAGCGGGGGACCGAGCAGCAAUGUUUGGCCUCGCGCCUUUGGAGCGGCCGAUGUCGGAUUAGCUAGUUGGUGGGGUAAAGGCCUACCAAGGCGACGAUCCGUAGCUGGUCUGAGAGGACGACCAGCCACACUGGGACUGAGACACGGCCCAGACUCCUACGGGAGGCAGCAGUGGGGAAUUUUGGACAAUGGGCGCAAGCCUGAUCCAGCAAUGCCGCGUGCGGGAAGAAGGCCUUCGGGUUGUAAACCGCUUUUGGCAGGAACGAAACGGCGUCCGCUAAUACCGGGCGCUAAUGACGGUACCUGCAGAAUAAGCACCGGCUAACUACGUG
rnacentral:rRNA from 1 species